rnacentral:rRNA from 1 species
GAUGAACGCUGGCGGCGUGCCUAAUACAUGCAAGUCGAGCGAACGGACGCGACGCUUGCUUCUCUGAUGUUAGCGGCGGACGGGUGAGUAACACGUGGAUACCCUCCCUAUCAGACUGGGAUAACUUCGGGAAACCGGAUCUAAUCCCGGAUGAUAUUUUGCACCACAUGGUUCAUAGGUGAAAGACGGUCUUGCUGUCUCUUCUAGCUGGAUCCCCGCUGCAUUGGCUAGUUGUUAAGUUAACGGCUUACCACGGCAACGAGGCAUAGCCGACCGGAGGGGGUGAUCGGCCACAUGGGAACGGAGCCGCGGACCAGACUACUGAGGGAGGCAGCAGUAGGCAAUGGGACGCAACGGGCGAGAACCUGACGGAGCAACGCGGAGUCAGUGAUGACGGUGUUGGGAUCGUAAAACUCUGUUAUUAGGGAAGAACAUAUGUGUAAGUAACUGUGCAGAGCGUGACGGUAACGAAUAAGAAAGCAACGGCUAACUACGUG